rnacentral:rRNA from 1 species
AUUGAACGCUGGCGGCAUGCCUUACACAUGCAAGUCGAACGGCAGCAAGGGUGCUUGCACCUGGUGGCGAGUGGCGAACGGGUGAGUAAUAUAUCGGAACGUACCUUAUUGUGGGGGAUAACGCAGCGAAAGCUGUGCUAAUACCGCAUAAUCCCUAAGGGGGAAAGCGGGGGACCGUAAGGCCUCGCGACAUUAGAGCGGCCGAUACCUGAUUAGCUAGUUGGUGAGGUAAAGGCUCACCAAAGCAACGAUCAGUAGCUGGUCUGCGAGGACGAUCAGCCACACUGGGACUGAGACACGGCCCAGACUCCUACGGGAGGCAGCAGUGGGGAAUUUUGGACAAUGGGGGCAACCCUGAUCCAGCAAUGCCGCGUGAGUGAAGAAGGCCUUCGGGUUGUAAAGCUCUUUUGUCAGGGAAGAAACAGCAGCCCUAACACAGUUUGCGAAUGACGGUACCUGAAGAAUAAGCACCGGCUAACUACGUGCCAGCCGCCGCCGUAA